CCUACGGGAGGCAGCAGUGAGGAAUAUUGGUCAAUGGGCGCGAGCCUGAACCAGCCAAGUAGCGUGAAGGAUGACUGCCCUACGGGUUGUAAACUUCUUUUAUAAAGGAAUAAAACGAGGCACGUGUGCCUUUUUGCAUGUACUUUAUGAAUAAGGAUCGGCUAACUCCGUGCCAGCAGCCGCGGUAAUACGGAGGAUCCGAGCGUUAUCCGGAUUUAUUGGGUUUAAAGGGUGCGCAGGCGGAAUGUCAAGUCAGCGGUAAAAUUUCGGGGCUCAACCCCGUCGUGCCGUUGAAACUGGCGUUCUUGAGUGAGCGAGAAGUAUGCGGAAUGCGUGGUGUAGCGGUGAAAUGCAUAGAUAUCACGCAGAACUCCGAUUGCGAAGGCAGCAUACCGGCGCUCAACUGACGCUCAUGCACGAAAGCGUGGGUAUCGAACAGGAUUAGAUACCCUAGUAGUC
rnacentral:rRNA from 1 species